UAAAAGUUUAUCGUCGACUUUUUGAAUUUUAAAAAAUGACGUUACGUUAUGAAACGCUAUUUUUUUCCGUUUAUCACACAGUCUUCAUAGAUCGAUAUCUAGGCUAUAUAUGGACCGAUUGUAUCACGGGUACAGGUAAUGGCAUUGAUUAUGGGAGAUUGCCUGAAGCUGAUUGCAGUAGUAACAUAACCAUUAAUUCCACUUGGCCAGUUACAGGCCUAAACCAAACUAGUGGUCUGGCUGAUGUGUGGUGGAUCUGUGGACCCAAAAGAGUGCUGAGACCCAUUCUUAGAGGAGACUGGCAAGGUUUCGAGUCCCUGGGUGGCAUGGUGCCCACCUGGUGCAGGAUAGGAGUAGCUGAGAGGACCAGAUGGUUUAUAAUAAUGCUUUGCUCUGCUUUACUCUGUUUUCCAUGACCAAAGUUUUAUCCUACAUCUUACAUGUCAAUAAACAAUAAAGUCUUAUCCUGUUUUUGUCAAAAGGGGGAGAUUAUCUUGGAUGAUUUUUCGUUUAUGUUUUUCUGUAAAAAAAAACAAUAAUAAUAAUAAUAAUAAUAAUAAUGUUUUAUUAAUAAUAAACAUUUGAUUAUUUUCAUGAAAUGCUAUUAACAUAUUACUAUGUUGGGACCGCUGAAAUAAAGGAUAAUGAGUGACACCCUAGCGGGUGUCAAAAGGGGAAUUGUUGGAUCCUGUAUUUUACAUAAUAGCCAUUAGAUAUAUAUGAUUAAAUAUUAUCUGAUGUUGGUUGUGUGAGGUGUCUGCAUUUAUGCACUGGAGCAUCAUUACGAGAUUAAACAACUGCUUGCUACUUGCCUGUUUGUGCGUGUCAAGAACUGAGUAACAUGGUGUGACCUGCUUGUUGCAAAACUGUAGAUAACAGCCCAGCACAUGCUUUGUCCAUGUGUUUGUAUGUAACAAUAUUGAGCACAUGGUGUGACUUGCUGUAUCUUACAAAAUUGUGAUAGGGAGGGGUGGUCAUCAGGAGGUUUAACUGAGAUGGAAAAAUACUGAACAACACAAUAGCAGGAACUGAGCAACUGUUCUAACUAGGCUGCGAUACCAGAACAGUAAGGAUCUAUACAUCGACGGAGGGAGAACUCCAAGAAGCGCCAAGAGGCGGGGACCCUCCUGAGCGCCUGCAAUAGGCUGGGCAAAUUUAAACCACGCCCAGCCUCUACUGUGAUAGGCCAACAGACGGGUUGGAACUAUGUCUAUCACAGUAUAAAGAAUACUGUUUUCAUAAAUCUUGUCAGUUCUCUGUUCUGCCCUGCGUGGUAUUACAGUGAGCCACUAUAUACGAAAGUUGCAUUUGCCAUUUAUUACUUAGCUAAUAAAAAAAUACAUAGUAUAAUA